rfam:Schistosoma haematobium scaffold3118_4, whole genome shotgun sequence.
AUUCAGUUGACGAGCCCAAAAUAGGACGAGACGCGCUUCUUGGAU